rnacentral:rRNA from 1 species
CCUACGGGAGGCUGCAGUGGGGAAUAUUGGACAAUGGGCGAAAGCCUGAUCCAGCCAUGCCGCGUGUGUGAAGAAGGCCUUCGGGUUGUAAAGCACUUUCAGUGGGGAAGAAAGCCUUGGGGCUAAUACCCUCGAGGAAGGACAUCACCCACAGAAGAAGCACCGGCUAACUCCGUGCCAGCAGCCGCGGUAAUACGGAGGGUGCGAGCGUUAAUCGGAAUUACUGGGCGUAAAGCGCGCGUAGGCGGUCUGAUAAGCCGGUUGUGAAAGCCCCGGGCUCAACCUGGGAACGGCAUCCGGAACGGUCAGGCUAGAGGGCAGGAGAGGAAGGUAGAAUUCCCGGUGUAGCGGUGAAAUGCGUAGAGAUCGGGAGGAAUACCAGUGGCGAAGGCGGCCUUCUGGACUGACACUGACGCUGAGGUGCGAAAGCGUGGGUAGCAAACAGGAUUAGAUACCCCUGUAGUC